rnacentral:rRNA from 1 species
GCCGGGCCGCACAAGCGGUGGAGUAUGUGGUUAAUUCGAUGCAACGCGAAGAACCUUACCUGGUCUUGACAUCCCGGAGACCCUUAGGAACUAGGGGUGCUUCCAUCUGGAAGAAUCUGGAGACAGGUGCUGCAUGGCUGUCGUCAGCUCGUGUCGUGAGAUGUUGGGUUAAGUCCCGCAACGAGCGCAACCCUUGCCUUUAGUUGCCAGCAGUUCGGCUGGGCACUCUAAAGGGACUGCCGGUGUUAAACCGGAGGAAGGUGGGGAUGACGUCAAGUCCUCAUGGCCUUUAUGACCAGGGCUACACACGUACUACAAUGGCCGAUACAAAGGGCAGCGACACUGCGAGGUGAAGCCAAUCCCGUAAAAUCGGUCUCAGUCCGGAUUGGAGUCUGCAACUCGACUCCAUGAAGUUGGAAUCGCUAGUAAUCGUGGAUCAGCAUGCCACGGUGAAUACGUUCCCGGGCCUU